GCCGGGUGUGGUGGCUCAUGCCUAUAAUUCCAGCAACUUGGAAGGCUGAGGCAGGAGGAUUGCCAAGUUUGAGGCCAGCCUCAGCAACUUAGUGAGACCCUAGGCAAUUCAGCAAGACCCUGUCUCAA
rnacentral:sRNA from 1 species